rnacentral:tRNA from 1 species
UCCCGGAUCGUUCAACGGCAGGACGACAGGUUCUGGCCCUGUUAAUCGAGGUUCGAAUCCUUGUCCGGGAA